rnacentral:rRNA from 1 species
UACGUAGGGGGCAAGCGUUGUCCGGAAUCAUUGGGCGUAAAGCGCGCGUAGGCGGCCCGGUAAGUCCGUUGUGAAAGUCAAAGGCUCAACCUUUGAACGCCGAUGGAUACUGCCGGGCUAGAGUCCGGAAGAGGCGAGUGGAAUUCCUGGUGUAGCGGUGGAAUGCGCAGAUAUCAGGAGGAACACCGGUGGCGAAGGCGGUGGUCUGGGCCGGCACUGACGCUGAGGAGCGAAAGCGUGGGGAGCAAACAGG